rnacentral:rRNA from 1 species
CCUACGGGGGGCAGCAGUGAGGAAUAUUGGUCAAUGGACGAGAGUCUGAACCAGCCAAGUAGCGUGAAGGAUGACUGCCCUAUGGGUUGUAAACUUCUUUUAUAUGGGAAUAAAACGUUCCACGUGUGGGAUUUUGUAUGUACCAUAUGAAUAAGGAUCGGCUAACUCCGUUCCAGCAGCCGCGGUAAUACGGAGGAUCCGAGCGUUAUCCGGAUUUAUUGGGUUUAAAGGGAGCGUAGGUGGAUUGUUAAGUCAGUUGUGAAAGUUUGCGGCUCAACCGUAAAAUUGCAGUUGAAACUGGCAGUCUUGAGUACAGUAGAGGUGGGCGGAAUUCGUGGUGUAGCGGUGAAAUGCUUAGAUAUCACGAAGAACUCCGAUUGCGAAGGCAGUUCACUGGACUGCAACUGACACUGAGGCUCGAAAGUGUGGGUAUCAAACAGGAUUAGAUACCCUAGUAGUC